AGUAAACGGCGGCCGUAACAAUAACGGUCCUAAGGUAGCGAAAUUCCUUGUCGGGUAAGUUCCGACCCGCACGAAAGGCGUAACGAUUUGGGCACUGUCUCAACAAAGGAUCCGGUGAAAUUGUAGUAGUCGUGAAGAUGCGACUUACCCACGCUAGGACGGAAAGACCCCGUGGAGCUUUACUGUAGGCUGAUAUUGGAUUUUGAGAUUAAAUGUACAGGA
rnacentral:rRNA from 1 species